CCGGGGGCACUGGGGGCGGAGGCGGCCCCCACAGAGACCUGAGAAGUUGAGACAAAACGCCUACCUUUCUGGGCUGCUGUUCCUGAAAAGUGCGGGAAAAUAUACCCAGGUCCAGCUAUAUUAGUUACAAGAAGGUGGAGGAGCUGUCUUGAACACCUAAUGCAUGUAUCCCUGUCAUUAAAAGUUUGUAUUUUCUAAGAACAAAGACUUUCAUAUGUCUAUAGAACCACCUAAAAUUAUGAUCAAAUUCAGAAAAUUUAAAAUGGUUACAAUGAUGCACAGCCUUAUUGUACUGCCUAGUUUUUGUCAACUUGGCAUAAACCUACACAUACCUGGGAAGAGGGAAUCUCUGUUGAAGAAUUGCCUCCAUCAGACUGGCCUGUGGGUUCCUGCCUUGCACUCCAGCCCUGAGUUCCCUCUGUGAUGGACUGUGACCUGUAAGCUGAAGUAAACACUUUCCACCUACAAGUUGAUUUUUGGUCAUCAUAGCAUUUAUCACAGCAAAAGAAACCAAACAAGGACAAAAACUGGUUCUAGAGAGUGGGAUCUUGCUGUGAUGGACCCAACCAUGUUGUUCUGAAGAAAGAUUGUGAAAGGAUUUUUGGUCUGGAAAAGCCAUGGAAAGUAAGAAUGUCAAAGGAAAAGCAGAUGAUGGAGACCUGGUUUGUGAAAUUUUGGAGGGAAGUUUGAGACUGCCCCAGAGAUUUUAUCAUGCAUGUUCAUGUGAUAUAUUUGAGUUAAGAAGCUGUGGAAUCAGCUGGGCAUAGUGGUGCAAGUCUAUGCUCUCAGCAGAAGACAGGGGCAGGCAGAUCUCUGUGAGUUCCAGUUGGGGCUACAUAGACAGACCAUGUCCAAAAAAAAAAAAAAAAAAAAAAAAAAAAAAAAAAAACUAGAAGUGAAACCUUUCCUUUAAAGGGACAAUGGAUGCUAGUAAGCUGGGGCUGGAAAAUCAUCUGUGAUUAAUAAGCAUCACUGAAGUGAAAUCUUCUAGGAAGUAUUUCCUCAUGGUAACACAGAAUCUCGGGUCUAGUUGGGGACCAAGGCUGCAUAUCAAGCUUGCAGUAGAACUUGGAAAACAAUGUGUAAGAGUUACCCGCAUGGUACUCGCUUUGAAAGCAUGAAGGGUUAAUGGAGAGCAGCUGAGGCUUGUUACUGUGAGACAGGGUCUCAAUAUCAGUGAAAGAGGCCAGGAGAGGCCACCGGUAAAGGUGCAUCCUCAGUUGCAGUGAGAACUCCUGGCCUGGGCUCGGGGGAGGUCAUGGAGAGAAGUUGGAGCCUGACAUCAGGAAGCAGAAGUGUCAGAAUCCCUGAAGAGAGCAGGGAAGGCAGUAGUCAAAGGACCAUAGGAUGACACCCCUGGCCCAGGAUAGCAGCAGGCUUGGAGCAAGUCUGAGCCUACAAGACAAGCUAUGUGUGCUGCUGAUGUCAGAGCUGAAGAACUAGGACUGCCCAAGAUCUUUGAGGCCCAAAAAAUCUCGAGUUGACUCCCAGAUGUUAGAGGCUAAGUAGUUUUCACUGUUGCAUUUUGGGUUUGCUUUGAUCUGAUUGUGCCUGGUUUUUCCCUCUUGGAAUAGGAAAACGUUUAACUUGUUUUUAAGUUUUUGAACAUUAGCUGAGAAAAGGAGAGAAAGAGAGCCAAAAAGCACAUCUCCUUCGUGGUGUCUGCUUCAGGUCCCUGUCUCACACUCCUGCCCUGAGUUCCCUCAGUAAUGGGCUGUGUGACCUGUAAGCUGAAGCAGACCACUUCCUCCCCCACGCUGUUUUUAGUUGGUCUUUUGUCACAGCAACAGACAAACAAGCUAAAACACUUAUUCAAAGUUUACUAAUUGGCCCACUAAUGUUCUAUUAGCAGUCCAAACCUCACCUAGUCUCUGAUUGAGUGCCCAACCCACAUCGUGCAUAGCAUUUAAACAGUGACGCCUCAGUCUUCUUUCAGUAGGUCUUUAUAUAGAGUAAGUCUUCAGUCUUCCAUUAUUAUUCAUGAGUCACAUUUUCAAAUUGUAUCAACUUUUGUGUCUUUGAGACAGUGUUACCUUGAGCUUUCAAUUGUCCUGCCCCUGUCUCCCAAAUGCUGAGAUUAUAGGCAAGCACCGCCACACCCCCAUACUUGCCCGGUGUCAGAAAACCCUACUGGAGUUUGUCUCUCGAUUUUGUGUAAUUGGAUGAAUAUUUUCUUUUGAGAGGGGGAGCAGUCAGUAAUACUGCCUAAGUAUGGUUGGUUUUCAAGUGCUUCGAUUGCACCACCACAUCUGGGUAACAGAAACUUUAUAAUUUUGUCUUUUCAUUUACAAUUUUAGGUGGCAUUUUACUAUAAGUAAGAUAGUUUCCUUUCUCCCCUACCCUCACAUUUCAUGGGGCCCUGGCUGGCUUCAAAUGUACAACAUAGCCAAGGAUGACCUUCAAGUCUCGGCUCUCCAGCCUUCAUCUGCAGAGUGUAGCACCAUGCCUCCCCAUCCAUUUUCUCAUUUUUUUAUGUUUAUAUACUGUCAUCAGUAUAAAUUGUGGACUCUUUCUUUAUUUACUAGGUUAUAAUCUAUCAGUUUCACUGCAUUUUUUAUUAUUGAACUUGUCCCAAUGCUGAGUAGUGAAAAAAUCCUUCAAGCUGCCUUCUGUAUCCUUUUGAUACAGCAACUCCUUGCUUUCUUAAUAAGUUGUCCCCAGAUUCAUCUUGUACUUUCACUGCCUAUUUCUGAAAGUCAGUAUCAGUCAUUUCUCCAAGAACUUCCUGUAUGGUAGGGAAUGGAUGUUUAGAAACCAAGAUCUGGGUACCAGAUAUGCUCAUCACUACUGAAUGUAUAAUUGCUUCUAGGCCCUUUUAAUAAACAAAACUGGGGGUGAAAUGGCAAUUUAA